AUGCAUGUGGAAAUGCCUUCUCAUUCCUUUUGGAGCAGGACUGCAUCCAUAACAUGCUACAUUAAUAAAGGAGUUCUCAGGGCUGCCAACCUUACAGUAGAGGUUGAGUGGUAGUAUAUUUCUCCUACACAA
ensembl:snoRNA